rnacentral:rRNA from 1 species
AGCUCCAAUAGCGUAUAUUAAAGUUGUUGCAGUUAAAAAGCUCGUAGUUGAAUUUCUGGUAUGCUGAGCCUGGCCCGCCUCCGCUCGGAGUGCGAGUGCUGGUGCACGGUUGCCAUCCUUCUAGGGAACGUGUCUACCCUUCAUUGGGCCGGACUCGGAAUCUAGAUCCUUUACUUUGAAAAAAUUAGAGUGUUUAAAGCAGGCUAACGCUAUGAAUACAUUAGCAUGGAAUAAUAAUUUAGGACUUUGGUUCUAUUUUGUUGGUUAUAGGACUAAAGUAAUGAUUGAUAGGGAUAGUUGGGGGUGCUAGUAUUCAGCGGCCAGAGGUGAAAUUCUUGGAUUCGCUGAAGACUAACUUAUGCGAAAGCAUUCACCAAGGAUGUCUUCUUUAAUCAAGAAC